rnacentral:tRNA from 2 species
GUGGGUGUAGCUCAGAUGGUAGAGCACUUGGUUGUGGCCCAAGUGGUCGAGGGUUCAAGUCCCUUCACUCACCCCA